UGGGGAAUAUUGGACAAUGGGCGCAAGCCUGAUCCAGCCAUGCCGCGUGAGUGAUGAAGGCCCUAGGGUUGUAAAGCUCUUUCACCGGUGAAGAUAAUGACGGUAACCGGAGAAGAAGCCCCGGCUAACUUCGUGCCAGCAGCCGCGGUAAUACGAAGGGGGCUAGCGUUGUUCGGAUUUACUGGGCGUAAAGCGCACGUAGGCGGACUUUUAAGUCAGGGGUUAAAUCCCGGGGCUCAACCCCGGAACUGCCUUUGAUACUGGAAGUCUUGAUUAUGGUAGAGGUGAGUGGAAUUCCGAGUGUAGAGGUGAAAUUCGUAGAUAUUCGGAGGAACACCAGUGGCGAAGGCGGCACACUGGACCAUUACUGACGCUGAGGUGCGAAAGCGUGGAGAGCAAACAGG
rnacentral:rRNA from 1 species